GUGACCUCAAAUCAGGUAGGACUACCCGCUGAACUUAAGCAUAUCAAUAAGCGGAGGAAAAGAAACUAACAAGGAUUCCCCUAGUAACUGCGAGUGAAGCGGGAAAAGCUCAAAUUUAAAAUCUGGCGGUCUUUGGCUGUCCGAGUUGUAAUCUAGAGAAGUGUUAUCCGCGCUGGACCGUGUACAAGUCUCCUGGAAUGGAGCAUCAUAGAGGGUGAGAAUCCCGUCUUUGACAUGGACUACCAGGCUUUGUGAUGCGCUCUCAAAGAGUCGAGUUGUUUGGGAAUGCAGCUCAAAUGGGUGGUAAUUCCAUCUAAAGCUAAAUAUUGGCGAGAGACCGAUAGCGAACAAGUACCGUGAGGGAAAGAUGAAAGACUUUGGAAAAGGAGUUAAACAGUAC
rnacentral:rRNA from 1 species